UGCUUGCUAGUAUGUAAAUAAACUCGGUCUCAUUGAUAAUAUUCAAACUUUUUUUUUUUCUUAAUCAAACUGAUCAUAUUAUAGCCUGUAAUGCUACUGUCAAGAUUGUCACAUGCCUCACUCAUACUGCUAUCACCGCUUGCCAGAGGCUGAGAAUGUCCAGCACUAGAGUUAUCUUGCUACGUUUUUAUUGUGAAGAUGUUAACGCACGGAUUUACGAAGUGAAGUGAAACAAUGUUGACUGGGCAUAGUGCUAUAUUUUUUCUGAUCUGUUUUUCUCCCUUCCUUCAGGAUGUCUGUCUCUGUAAAGGAGCUGUGUGAAUUGAUGAAUGUUAACUAUGAUAGGGCUGUUAUUGAGGCGAUUGCGAGGGUCAACAAUGAGGAGGAUGGUUUGUAGGAAAAUAGAAUUGAGUCAGCCAAACAAUUAAGUCUACAUUGUUUCAUUACUGAAAUGUUAACUAGUUUUCCUCUCUGUCAUUCUUAGAUUCACUUGAAAGUGACAGUUCUCAGACAGCUGCCAUUGAGGAUUCUCUGGAAAGUGAUAAAGAUAAUCAUUCCGAAAUAGCUGCCAGUGAGGACUCACUUGAACACAAUCCAGAAAAUGAGCCGGAUUACACACCUGUCAAUGAAGGUAAUUUAUUGUCAUUAUUUUUACAUUUCUGUCAGCUACUAGUGGGCUCAGCCGAAUGCACGCGC